rnacentral:rRNA from 1 species
AUUGAACGCUGGCGGCAGGCCUAACACAUGCAAGUCGAACGAGUGGCGGACGGGUGAGUAAUGUCUGGGAAACUGCCUGAUGGAGGGGGAUAACUACUGGAAACGGUAGCUAAUACCGCAUACCAUCGGAUGUGCCCAGAUGGGAUUAGGUAGUAGGUGGGGUAACGGCUCACCUGGGCGACGAUCCCUAGCUGGUCUGAGAGGAUGACCGGCCAGACUGGCACUGAGACACGGUCCAGACUCCUACGGGAGGCAGCAGUGGGGAAUAUUGCACAAUGGUCGAAAGCCUGAUGCAGCCAUGCCGCGUGUAUGAUGAAGGCCUUCGGGUUGUAAAGUACUUUCAGCAGGGAGGCGUUACCCGCAGAGGAAGCACCGGCUAACUCCGUGCCAGCAGCCGCGGUAAUAC